rnacentral:rRNA from 1 species
AUCGAACGCUGGCGGCAGGCCUAACACAUGCAAGUCGAGCGCAACUUCGGACGGGUGAGUACUGCCUGGGAAUCUACAUGGUAGUGGCGUCUACCGUCCGGAAACGGGCCCUAAUAACGCAUAAUUUCAGAUCACUCUAGGUCGGAUGAGCUAGUUGGUGGGGUAAAGGCCUACCAAGGCGACGAUCCGUAACCGGUCUGAGAGGAUGAUCAGUCACACUGGGACUGAGACACGGUCCAGACUCCGACGGGAGGAAGCAGUAGGGAAUAUUGGGCAAUGGGCGAAAGCCUGAUCGAGCCAUGCCGCGUGAGUGAAGAAGGUCUUCGGAUUGUAAAGCUCUUUUAGUUGGGAGGCGGUACCUAACGAAAAAGCAACGGCUAACUUCGUGCCAGCAGCCGCGGUAAUUC